rnacentral:rRNA from 1 species
UACAGAGGUGGCAAGCGUUGUUCGGAAUUACUGGGCGUAAAGGGCGCGUAGGCGGCCAUCUAAGUCAGACGUGAAAUCCCCCGGCUUAACCUGGGAACUGCGUCUGGUACUGGAAGGCUUGAGUAUGGGAGAGGGAUGUAGAAUUCCAGGUGUAGCGGUGAAAUGCGUAGAUAUCUGGAGGAAUACCGGUGGCGAAGGCGGCAUCCUGGACCAUUACUGACGCUGAGGCGCGAAAGCUAGGGGAGCAAACGGG